rnacentral:piRNA from 1 species
UCCAAUGCUGACUUCUGGAACCCUGCCUUAG